UAUAUUAUUUAUUUAUUUUAUUUUAAUAUAUAAUUAUAUUCUAUAUUUUUCUAUAUCUGAUUGCGAAAUACUUUGCAAAUUAUAUGGUGCCUUCAUUGCUUUGCUGAGACAACCCUUACGAUGUAUUCGUAUUGGCAUCGGAAUUGCAAUCGCAUUCAAAUCGAUUUCGAUUAAUCAAAAUUUUGACUCUCAUUGGUAUCUGGAAUAGUUCAUUCGGAUCGGCAAGUUUGUUAUGCUCCAAGAUUAAUGUAUCUAGGCCUGGCAAGGAUUCGCCAAUUUCAUUUGGGAGACGGUUUAUUUUGUUAUGCAAAAGAUUAAUAUAUUUGGUGCUUUUAAAGUUGUACUUGAGCAGCUUAUCGGGCAGUGUUGUGUAAUUAUUUCCGAUAUUCGAGAGUGUCUUCCGAUAUUCAAGACUGUCUUUCGAUAUUCAAGAGUGCAUCACUGCUUCUUGCCAAAGCGAAGCAUGCGAACAGCUCGUUGCCUCCUCGUAGGUUGCUGGAAUGGGCACAUCACUUACAACCAUUGCGCUGAGUAUAUUAAAUUGCUUCCUUGGGCGACUAGGUCUGCCCGUUCUUAGCAAUUUCGAUCUUCCAGGCUCAAUUCGUGGGAUCUGCUCUUCCUCCAGGUUUUUGUCAUCUUUUGCACUUUCAAAAGAUUCAGGUGUAUCUGAGUGAGAUUUUCUUCUUUGCAGUGACCUUCGCACUAAGCCUCUGUCUAACUGUAAAUACCUGCCCAACAUUGCUGAGCUUUCUGCGCUCUCUUUCCUCCUGCCUUCUUCCUUCAACUUUAUACAUGGAAUUUCAAACGUUGGAGGACCGUCGCACGUCUCGAUGGCGACAACAAAAUUCUCAUGGAUCGGGAAAGCAAAACAAUGACCUUGAGCUCGUCAACUAUUGCUACGAAUAUAAUGAUAUUUGUUGGGUUGAAAUCUUCUAUGUCUCUGAAAUUCAAAACAUGCAUCCCCAGGCUGCUGCGUCUUCUUCUAGUUAGGGCGACACAUUCUGCUAGGAUUUUCAUCGAGGAUUCCUCCUUUAUA